UUUCCUAAUAUCCAGUCUGAACUUCCCCUGGCACAACUUGAGGCCAUUUCCUCUCAUCCUAUCAUUUGCUACUUGGGAGAAGAGACCAACACCCUCCAUGCUACAACCUCCUUUCAGGUAGCUGUAGACAGUGAUAAGGUCUCCCCUCAGCCUCCUUCUCUCCAGGCUAAACAGCCCCAGUUCUUUCAACUGCUCCUCAUCAGACUUUGCUCCAGACCCCUCAUCAGCCUUGUGUGAUGUGCCUGCCUUUUGAUUUUUGAGGGUGACAGAAGAAGUGAGUCCAAACGAGCAUUGGGUCCUAUGUCAGAAAGAAGUAGUGCAAACUCCCAAGGAGAAGCUACAUAAGAAGAGGGACAAUCUUCCAGACACAUGUAAAAUACACUAAUUGUUCCAUGAAGGCCAUGAAGAUGAUGUGACAGCCAAGGAGAGAUAAUUUUUUCAGUUGGAAUGAGUAAUAUGGCAACAAGCUUGCAGUUUCUCCAUCACAAUCACACAAAUAAAAUCUUACCAAACUAA